AAGGCGGUUUGGUUAAUCUACGGGGAACGAUGUGAUUAAUGUAUGCACAUAUGUACUGCCUAAUGAGUUUUGAUCUAUAUCAUAUUAAACAAAAGAAUGGCGUAGUUAUAGGAUUACUUCGAAUGAUUAUUACUUCCAGGCACCUCUCAAUACCUGAUAAGCUCUACUUGAGCUGUCUCCGCAUAACGGGAGAUUUUAUGGACUUCUGUAGGUACUUACCUCUGCAGUAAAAAUAAUGGUGAUGAGACGAAAAAAUCAGAGAUGAUUUUAAAUGGGAUGUUUUAUGUUUUCGUUGUGGUAUGGGGCAUCAAAGAAGAAUAAAAGGAGAGUUUUUACCCUUGACAGGUGUUUAUAGAGAUUUUUAGAGUAAUACACAACGUACAGCAAACAUCUGUAUCUCCUGUACUGAAAUGAAAUUAAUUUUAACGACGGAAAAAUAUACAGAUGCUUGCAGUAAGUGGCCCUUCUCACAACGCUGAUGGUAUGUGAUUGCUAAUAAUUUUUGGAGAAGCACUUGAGUCAAGUAGAGCCAAAUAGCCGUUUCAUAUAUGUGUAACGUUCUUGUAAAUAUUGAUGUGGGUAUUACAUAACAGUUUGUGUCUUUUAUAUGUUUUUUACAGUAUAUUUUCAAUAAUUUUUAUGUGAAAUUUAAAAGAUAUCAAGGCAUGUAUUGAUUUAAACCUUGGUGAUACAACAUGUUUAUGUAAACAGCAGACUCUCUCUCUUAUCUUUAUUACUGUAGGGGAUGUAGGUACCUGUAUACUAAAAAUAGAUUGUCCUGGCUGACCAUUGGUCAGUUUCUAUUACGUGAUAGAUAAAGGGGAGAUUUCAGUUCUAAGACACACAGAAGGAUCGAGCAUUUACAAAUAAAUAAAUUGUGUUCAUUUUAACCUGUAUUUUUUUUAUAUAUAAUUAUUUCUUAGAGUUAAAAGUUUAAGGUUUUUAUUAUUUUAGUUCUUGAAUUUACAAAGGACCUAAAUACUUGACAGUGUUUAUAUUCUGUUGUGAGAACAUGGAAGAGGUGUGUAAUUUUCUUCUUUAACCUGUUUGCUCAGUGGAUCAAGUUUUAUAACUUAGUGUAUUGUUUAGGUCUGAUAAGCCACUCUGGUAUACAUGAUUACCAUGGUGUUAGGGGAUAUAGUAAAUUAAGUGAAUCUUAUCUAAGUACCUAAAGUUUUAGCAACUUAGUGAUUUUCUUAUAUUGUGUUACUUGAAGUGUUAAAGUGACUGAGUACCAAAAGUUUACGCAACUUAGUGGUUUUCUUAUAUCGUGUUACUUGAAGUGUUAAAGUGACUGAGUACCAAAAGUUUCAGCAUCUUAGUGAUUUUCUUAUAUUGUGUUACUUGAAGUGUUAAAGUGACUGAGUACCAAAAGUUUUAGCAACUUAGUGAUUUUCUUAUAUCGUGUUACUUGAAGUGUUAAAGUGACUGAGUACCUAAAGUUUUAGCAACUUAGUGAUUUUCUUAUAUUGUGUUACUUGAAGUGUUAAAGUGUCUAAGUACUUAAAGUUUUAGCAACUUAGUGAUUUUCUUAUAUUGUGUUACUUGAAGUGUUAAAGUGACUGAGUACCAAAAGUUUUAGCAACUUAGUGAUUUUCUUAUAUUGUGUUACUUGAAGUGUUAAAGUGUCUUAGUACUUAAAGUUUUAACAACUUAAUGAUUUUCUUAUUUUGUGUUACUUGGAGUGUUAAAGUAUUUAAGUACUUAAAGUUUUAACAACUUAGUACUUUUCUUACACGGUGUUACUUGAAGUUGUAUUUCUUGAUGUGAUAACGGGGCCAAGCCGUAAACUAAGAAAAUAUUCAGGCUUUUCCUCCAUUACUUGUUUGCUUUUACACUUUACACUUUACAAUAACAUAUCAUAACAAAUAUACUGAAACUAAAAUUAUAAUUAUACUUACCCGUAGGCUUCUCCGGUCCAAUUAAUAAGAACUUUGUUCACCAAAUAACACGUUUCUAAUCAAUUAUGGUUAUUUACCCAUUGAGUAAACGGUAAACGUAAGCCGAUAAUACAAUCAAUUUUCAUCAUAAAGGCCUUUGUCAAACGUAACAAUUUCGACCAAGUGUCGUACUUCAUAUGAAAAUUAGACCAAGUGUCGGAUUCGGCUAAGUGUCGGAUUCGGCCAUGUUUCAUCUUCGACGAAGUGUCAUAUUCGACCAAGUGUCUUUCGACCAAGUGUCGUGCACCGGGGGC